CCUACGGGAGGCAGCAGUGAGGAAUAUUGGUCAAUGGGCGCGAGCCUGAACCAGCCAAGUCGCGUGAGGGAAGACGGCCCUACGGGUUGUAAACCUCUUUUGCCGGGGAGCAAAGGGCGCCACGUGUGGCGCCACUGAGAGUACCCGGAGAAAAAGCAUCGGCUAACUCCGUGCCAGCAGCCGCGGUAAUACGGAGGAUGCGGGCGUUAUCCGGAUUUAUUGGGUUUAAGGGGUGGGUAGGCGGAUUGAUAAGUUAGAGGUGAAAUUUCCGGGCUUAACCCGGGAACUGCAUCUAAGACUGUUGAGCUAGAGAGUAGAUGAGGUAGGCGGAAUGUAUGGUGUAGCGAUGAAAUGCUUAGAGAUCAGACAGAACACCGAUUGCGAAGGCAGCUUACCAAUCUAUAUCUGACGUUGAGGCACGAAAGCGUGGGGAGCAAACAGGAUUAGAUACCCCGGUAGUC
rnacentral:rRNA from 1 species